ACUGUACUUGCCUCACCUCAUCUUGCAUUGUCUUCCAUAUGUAUUUAUAUUAUUUCCUCCUCUGUAAAACUUCAUUGUACACUUUAAUUUUCUGCACUAUACUACUCAUUCUCUGUAAAAUAAACUCCUACGUUGUGUUAUACACACACACACCAUUUGAAAACUUUCUUUGUUUUUUACACUCGGUAUUGUACACACACACGUGCACACGACCACAAUCUAAUGAAUAUUCAUCGGCGAACCGUCCCAUUGAGAGUGACUAUUUGAAUUAGUUGAUAUUUUUGAUAGCAGAUAUUGUUUUAACCAAAAGUAAGGUUUUGUGAGAGAAAAGGAUUUCCAAAAUAAGGAAAAACAAUUAUUUCAGAAAAAGGAUAAAUUAUGCACCUACAAUGUAGCAUUAGAAUGUUUUGUUUUUAUAUGUGGAAACUGCACAGAUAGUGUGUGUGUGUGUGUAUUUGAGUUUUUGUCAGACGUGUAUCAAUCAGAUAUGAUUAUUUACGUCUGGGACCGACCUUUAACGUCACCAUCCGAAAGACGUGACCAGGAUUCGAACCUCGAACUUCUGCAUCAAAUUGUAACUUCCCCACGUAUCUUGGAUUACAGGCGCACGCCACAACGCCCAGUUGAAAUGCAAACAUUAGUCUUCUUUCAGACGUUUAGAUUUGUCUUUGGCAGAGUUAAAUGCAACAAAUAUGCAUCAUUUUUUAACUGCUGCAGACACCUGUUCAGACAUAGAAGAUUAUUUUUACCAACAAUAUUCAAUUUAUUUGUCAAGUCCAUUUAAUUCAGACUGUAGAGUCAAAUAUGCAUUACAUGUAGGUUCAUGAUGAUAUAGAAAGUUAUGUAAACUACAAUUUCAGUGAUAUAUUUAUGGUCAUGAAACUGAGGAUGUUUUUUCCCUCUUUUUCUUUUAACCUCCUAGAUUGAAUAAACACAGUUACAUUGGUUCUUCGGAGGCCAGCUCAGUUGAUUGUUGUACUUAUACAAUCCCAAGAGGAAUUUGCCAUCCGUAAUAGUUCCUUUUCGUCAACAAGCCACCUGACUUAACAAAGCUUUAAUGAAACUUCCAUUUAAAAGUUGUAAACAACGGGUCUCCUGGAGGAUACAAGCACUUGGGCUGGUACCAACCUACACCAUGGAUGAGAAGAGGUUUCAUAUUCAACAAGAUGGAUUUUCCAUUUCUUUCAUUAAAAGAAAGAGUACCAAAUUCCAAUGACUUGGGCAGUCCUUUGAUCGAUGAGGUAAUACAGCUUCAUAGAUACAAUAAAUAAUUUUUUAUGCAGUUCAUGCAGGUAUAUCAAAGUUCAACUCUUAUUUUUGGUACAUGUAUUUCCAAAUUCUUUAAAAGAAAGAAAGAACAAUCGAAUUGAAUGAAAAAUUAACUUUUUUUUAUAUAUAUAUUGUAUCGUAUCCGAACAUCUACCCCCUGGACAUCCACACCCCGGACAUCCACCACCCGGACAUCCACCCCCCGGACAUCCACCCCCUUAGGACAUCUACCCCCUAGGACAUCUACCCCCGGACAUUUACCCCCCGGACAUCUACCCCCCGGACAAUUACCCCCCGGACAUUUACCCCCCCGGACAUCUACCCCCGGACAUUUACCCCCCGGACAUUUACCCCCCGGACAUCUACCCCCCGGACAUCUACCCCCUGGACAAUUACCCCCUGGACAUUUACCCCCCCCCCCCCCCAGACAUCUACCCCCGAGCAUCUACUCACGGAUAUUUUGGAUACGGGGGGUUCCAAAAUUACGCAUCAUUUCAUAAGUGCAUGCAGACCCAAAAUUGCACAAAAACGUAAAUUUGUGUACAAAUCCAAUGCAAAUAGAGUUUUUAGCCAAAAUUCAUAAAUGUAUAAUUUUUCCAUUUACUGAUUGAAAUCAAUUAAUUCCAUCUUAUUUAUGGUCCAAAUAAAGUCCCCGACAAUUUCCAUUGAAAAAACAAUAAAAAACAUAAAGUCCAAAAACAAAGAAAUACAUAAGAAAUUUUGAAAACAGUUAAAUACAUGAAAAAAUUAAUGUGAUUUUGAAAUUUUUUGUUAGUACAUUUGAACAGAUUAAUAUAAAGUGUCUGUGUACCAAAAAUUAGCAUUUUAGGGGCAUUAUUUAGUUAAUUAAAGCAAAAUUCUGAUUUCAUGCAUAAAUUAGCAUAAUAAAUUAGCAAUGAGAUUUUUCACAGAGUUUGAUCCUGUAGUUUUGUAUAUUAUGCCAUUGGUAACGCAGGUGCCAAGUUUCGUCGCGAUCAACGGCCGAGAUCAUAAGGAGGGGGGCUGAAUCAGCCCCCCCCCCCACAGUCUUCUUAGGCAUCGAAAUAGCCUAGUCUAUUUAGGUUUAAUUCAUGUGUAAUAUCUGUUUUAUAAAUCUUCCAAAUGAUACCAAGUAUCGUUCAAGUGGGUUUAAAGGGGAAGUUCACGCUGACAAAAAGUUUAUUGUUAAAACAGAAGAAAAAAAUAAUAAAAAUAUUGCUUAAGUUUUGAGGAAAAUCCAUCAAAGAAUUAAAAAGUUAUUUGAAUUUCAAUUAUUUGAGUUGUAACGUCAUAUUCGGGCAGCAUUUCUACAUAAUGAAUUUUUUUUUUCUAUACCUUUUCUAUAUCAAAGGACCAAUCAUUUUACACCCAAACAUGAAAAGAAAACACAAAAUAACAAAAAUAUGUCCUCUGGAACCAUUAAAAAAUGAAAUUCAUGCAUUUUAUAUUACAUAACUUUAUUUGGCAGCUGCUCGUGUGUGUGACGCCACAAAUCCAAAGGCUAAGCUUAGAAUUCUAAUAAAUUAUUUAAUAUUUAACAGAUUUUCCUCAAACCUUCACCAAUUUUUUUGUCUCACCUGCAUAGCAGACUUGUUUUGUCCAAGUGAACUUUCAUGUUAAGAUUGAAUGAGUUGCAAUUAUCUUAACUUUAAUAUAUUUUAAAAAAUUAUUUGCUUCUAAAUUGAAGACAAAGUGAAGAUUGAAAUAGUUUCAUUUGAUUUGUUUCAGUAGCAAAAGAGGUGCAGACUGCAGAGCUUCAAAAUAUUUGAUAUCGCUAUAAUAUUGUCAGUACUCUAUAUCAUUCUUAUCUUUCCAACUAUUUUGAGGCCGCCUGAAUCGCAAACCCUGUAUGGCCAGUUUUUGUUUAUGACAAACAAUGAUGAGGGAUGGCUGAAAAUCCCUCCAGGUAAGUUGGGGUUUAUGUAAUUGACAUGGUAACCAAAUAUGAAUUUAGUAAUUUAUAACAGGAUGUAUAUUCCUGAAACAAAGUGCAAUUGUUUGAUAAAUGUUAAUUGAAUUGGCCACUAUUGUAAUUUUAAGAUUGUCCUUAUUGUUAGCUUUACAUAGACACCAAAAACAGAGGAUAUUGUUCCCAACUGGAAUUAUGAUAUUACUAUGCUAUUGUCAUAUUUAUCAUCACAAUAAUGUAUCUGGUAAUGUAAUGCUAUCUUAAAGGGAUGGUCCGGGCUGAAAGUAUGUGUAGCUUAAUAAAUAGAGUAGAAUUCACUGAGCAAAAUGCAGAAAAUUUCAUCAAAAUCGGAUAACAAAUAACAAAGUUAUUGAAUUUUGAAGUUUAGCAAUAUUUUGUGAAAACAGUCGUCAUGAAUAUUCAUUAGGUGGGCUGAUGAUGUCACAUCUCCACUUGUUCUUUUGUAUUUUAUUAUAUGAAAUUAGGUUUAUUCAAUUUUUUUUCCUCCAAGAACUAGAAAAAUUGGAUUGUCAACUGAAUAGUGCAUUAAAUAUUUAUUGCUGCAACUUAUUUCAUUAUAAGGGAGACAUUCAGACAAGUAUGAAAUAAUGAAAAAAAUAUGAUUUUAUGUAAUAACAUAAGACAACAGAACGUGGAGAUGUGACAUCAUCAGCCCACCUAAUGAAUAUUCAUGACAACUGUUUUCACAAAAUAUUGCUAAACUUUAAACUUCAAUAACUUUAUUAUUUGUUAUCCGAUUUUGAUGAAAUUUUCGGCAUUUUGCUCAGUGAAUUAUACUCUAUGUAUUAAGAUAUAAAUAUUUUCAGCCCGGACCAUCCCUUUAAGUUUUGAACCAGGAUUUGAUUUUUGUGGGAUAUAAUAUACAUGUAUUUUAUAUACACCUCAGUUCAAUAUGUUUUACAAUGUAACUGUACAUCUGAUUAAGUUUAUCUUAUUGUUACUUAAUAAAACCACUUUACUCCAAAGAA